GACCGAUUGGCGCAAUGGUAGCGCGUGGCUCUCCUACUAAGGAAAGUCCUUGAAACUUAUAAGUUCAAGCCAAGGUUGUGGGUUCGAGUCCCAUGUCGGUCG
rfam:Xylona heveae TC161 unplaced genomic scaffold L228scaffold_12, whole genome shotgun sequence.